UGCGAUCAAGCAGAAGAAUCUUGAGAUUAAAAGAAAAGAAGGAAAAGGCUGGGACAUUGCAAGAAGAAUAUUCAAUGGACCUCAAAGGGAAACUUUCGAUGAUAGGAAGUUCUUAUCUCUGAUCUAUGAUCUUCGAGAGGUGAACCCUGAUGAGGAUGUUUUUAUGCAUGCCUUUGCCUUAGAACUGGAAUAUGUAACUGUUGCUGUUAGGGGAUUGCUAGAAGAGUGGGAGCUGAUUGUCUACACACAGAGGAAUGGUUCAUUCAGACUAUCUGUCGAAUUUCUCAAAUCAUU
rnacentral:lncRNA from 1 species